rnacentral:rRNA from 1 species
UGGGGGGCCUACGGGAGGCAGCAGUAGGGAAUAUUGGGCAAUGGGCGGAAGCCUGACCCAGCCAUGCCGCGUGCAGGAUGAAGGCCUUCUGGGUUGUAAACUGCUUUUACCAGGGAAGAAAACACCCAUGCGUGGGGAACUGACGGUACCUGGGGAAUAAGCACCGGCUAACUCCGUGCCAGCAGCCGCGGUAAUACGGAGGGUGCAAGCGUUGUCCGGAUUUAUUGGGUUUAAAGGGUGCGUAGGCGGCCCCUUAAGUCAGCGGUGAAAGCCCGGGGCUCAACCCCGGAACUGCCGUUGAUACUGGGGGGCUUGAGUACAGACGAGGUAGGCGGAAUUGAGGAUGUAGCGGUGAAAUGCUUAGAUAUCCUCAAGAACACCGAUUGCGUAGGCAGCUUACUAGGCUGUAACUGACGCUGAGGCACGAAAGCGUGGGGAGCGAACAGGAUUAGAUACCCUGGUAGUCCACGCCGUAAACGAUGACUACUCGAUGUCGGCGACAAACUGUCGGCGUCUUAGCGAAAGCGUUAAGUAGUCCAUCCGC